rnacentral:rRNA from 1 species
GGAAUUUUCCGCAAUGGGCGAAAGCCUGACGGAGCAACGCCGCGUGAGGGAUGAAGGCCUCUGGGCUGUAAACCUCUUUUAUCAAGGAAGGAGAUCUGACGGUACUUGAUGAAUAAGCCACGGCUAAUUCCGUGCCAGCAGCCGCGGUAAUACGGGAGUGGCAAGCGUUAUCCGGAAUUAUUGGGCGUAAAGCGUCCGCAGGCGGUCCAGAAAGUCUGCUGUUAAAAAGUGGAGCUUAACUCCAUCAUGGCAGUGGAAACUUCUGGACUAGAGUGUGGUAGGGGCAGAGGGGAUUCCCGGUGUAGCGGUGAAAUGCGUAGAUAUCGGGAAGAACACCAGUGGCGAAGGCGCUCUGCUGGGCCAUAACUGACGCUCAUGGACGAAAGCCAGGGGAGCGAAAGGGAUUAGAUACCCCAGUAGUC